UGUGUGCAUUCUUGAGAAGCACGCUUGUACCACUUUCCCUCGAUUACAUCUGCUCUCUCUACCCUAAUAGUCCAAAAGGCUUAACACUGCUUUUCUGCGGCCACAACCCCAAUACUCGGAUUCGCAUGUCCCCGACAAGAGAGCAAUCCGAACUCCAGACGAUGAGCGACAACGAGAGAGCUGCGACCAAGUCUUUGUCAACUUAGGCCAGAGGUCCUCGAUCCAAGACGAGCAUAGCUAUGGGGUGCAGGAAAUGUGAGAAGCCAAGGGCGACGUAUAGGAAGGGCUUGUGGUCGCGAGAAGAGGAUGAAAAGCUGAAGAGCCACAUGGAUAGGCAUGGCCAUGGUAGCUGGAGCUCGCUUCCCGCCAAAGCUGGCUUGCGACGAAAUGGAAAGAGCUGCAGAGUAAAAGAGGUGGCUCGAUUACCCGAGGCCAGGGCUGAAGCAUGGUACCUUUUCUCCUCUGGAGGUGGAAACCGUCGCGAAACUUCAUUCUGUGGUGGGAAACAAGUAAGCAUUCUCAUCACAUUUAAAUUUGCGCGAAUAAUUAGCGUAGAUUUGGAAUUGUGAUAUUUCUGAUCUCCAACCGAGAUCUUCUGAAUGAUUUCGUGAUUCUAAUACCUUGGAUGAAGAAUCCAUUUGCCUAUUUAUUGUCUUUCAUCUCCAACUUAAAAGAUCACCUCUGCUUGGGUCUAAGAACUGCAUCCUCCCUGGUUCUUAAAGAGGAUUCUUCUGGUCAUGCAUCAAAACCAUUCAAGUCACUCAGCAACACAAUAAAUAGAUACGACAAAAACAGAACUAGAUCCUUGUUCUGGAUAUGAGUUUGUGAGUAUUAUUAAGCUCCAACCACCACUUCGUUUAGGAAUACGGUGGCGAUGGGGUUAUGAAAUCAAGGAUGUGUGAAUGCA